UGCAGAUCUUGGUGGUAGUAGCAAAUAUUCAAGUGAGAACCUUGAAGACUGAAGUGGGGAAGGGUUCCAUGGUAACAGCAGUUGGACAUGGGUGAGUCGGUCCUAAGAGAUAGGGGAACUCCGUUUCAAAGUGUGCGCUUGUUCGCACGGCCUAUCGAAAGGGAAUACGGUUAAAAUUCCGUAACCGCGAUGUAGAUUCUGAACGGCAACGUAAAUGAACUUGGAGACGCCGGUGUGGGCCCUGGGAAGAGUUAUCUUUUCUCCUUUACAGCUUAUAACCCUGGAAUCGGAUUAUCCGGAGAUAGGGUCUAAUGGCUGGUAGAGCACUGCUAUUCUGUAGUGUCCGGUGCGUCCACAACGGCCCUUGAAAAUCCGAGGGAAUGAAAAAGUCUUACACGCGAUCGUACCCAUAUCCGCAUCAGGUCCCCAAGGUGAUCAGCCUCUAGUCCAUAGAAUAAUGUAGAUAAGGGAAGUCGGCAAAAUAGAUC
rnacentral:rRNA from 1 species